rnacentral:rRNA from 1 species
UACGUAGGGUGCAAGCGUUGUCCGGAAUUAUUGGGCGUAAAGAGCUCGUAGGCGGCUUGUCGCGUCGGAUGUGAAAGCCCGGGGCUUAACUCCGGGUCUGCAUUCGAUACGGGCAGGCUAGAGUUCGGUAGGGGAGAUCGGAAUUCCUGGUGUAGCGGUGAAAUGCGCAGAUAUCAGGAGGAACACCGGUGGCGAAGGCGGAUCUCUGGGCCGAUACUGACGCUGAGGCGCGACAGCGUGGGGAGCAAACAGG